CUUUCCCUCUUUCUUUAGGCCUAACACAUGCAAGUCGAACGGCAGCACAGUAAGAGCUUGCUCUUACGGGUGGCGAGUGGCGGACGGGUGAGGAAUACAUCGGAAUCUACUUUUUCGUGUGGGUUAACGUAGGGGAACUUACGCUCAUACCGCAUACGACCUACGGUUGAAAGCAGUGGAUCUUCGGACCUUGCGCGGAUGGAUGAGCCGAUGUCGGAUUAGCUAGUUGGCGGGGUAAAGGCCCACCAAGGCGACGAUCCGUAGCUGGUCUGUGUGGAUGAUCGGCCACACGAGAACUGAGACACGGUCCAGACGCCUACGGGAGGCAGCAGUGGGGAAUAUUAGACAAUGGGCGCAAGCCUGAUCCAGCCAUACCGAGUGGGUGGAGAAAGCCUUCGGGUUGUAAAGACCUUUUGUUGGGAAAGAAAAGCAGCAGGUUAAUACCCCGCUGUUCUGACGGUACCCAAAGAAUAAGCACCGGCUAACUUCGUG
rnacentral:rRNA from 1 species